GACGAACGCGGCGGCGUGCCUAAUACAUGCAAGUAGAACGCUGAAGGAGGAGCUUGCUUCUCUGGAUGAGUUGCGAACGGGUGAGUAACGCGUAGGUAACCUGCCUGGUAGCGGGGGAUAACUAUUGGAAACGAUAGCUAAUACCGCAUAAUAGCAGUUAUUGCAUGAUAACUGUUUGAAAGGUGCAAUUGCACCACUACCAGAUGGACCUGCGUUGUAUUAGCUAGUUGGUGGGGUAACGGCUCACCAAGGCGACGAUACAUAGCCGACCUGAGAGGGUGAUCGGCCACACUGGGACUGAGACACGGCCCAGACUCCUACGGGAGGCAGCAGUAGGGAAUCUUCGGCAAUGGACGGAAGUCUGACCGAGCAACGCCGCGUGAGUGAAGAAGGUUUUCGGAUCGUAAAGCUCUGUUGUAAGAGAAGAACGAGUGUGAGAGUGGAAAGUUUCACACUGUGACGGUAUCUACCCAGAAAGGGACG
rnacentral:rRNA from 1 species